rnacentral:rRNA from 1 species
CCCAGUUAUACUAAUCUUAGAAUGAAUAAUACUUGGGUAGUAAACAGUUAUGAGCUUGAAAUCCAAAGAAUUUGGCGGUAUUUUAUUCUUUUUAGAGGAACCUGUCUUGUAAAUGAUAAACCACGUAAUAUCUUACUUUAUCUUGUAAUCAGUUUGUAUACCGCCAUCGUUGGGAUUUGCUUAAAAGCAAUUUCCUAAAUAAACUUCUGUACUUAGGGUAUUAGGUCAAGGUGCAGCUUAUGUUAAAGUUAUGAUGGGUUACAAUAUAUUUUAUAUAAUAGCGGAAGGAAGAUGUGAAACUCUCUCUGGAAGACGGAUUUAAUAGUAUCUUAAUUUUAAUAAGUUUGAGCGAAGAAGAUCUAAAAUAUGUACACAUCGCCC